rnacentral:lncRNA from 1 species
CCACAUCAAAACCCUUUUUAUAUAUAUUCAGAGAUAAUGUUCCUACCCCAAAAAGGCGCCAUCUUUCAAGAGAUACGCAGGCUAUGUUCUCCAAAAGAGAUAAGCAAGAAAACAGGGAGUUGUUCAAACUGAAAAAUCAAACUAACCAUCACGGUUUGAGCUCUCAAAAGGGGCAGUUGGAAUUAAAGAGGGUUUAGGUUCUCUUUAAAAAAAAAAAACAGAGAAGUGAUUGUCUUAAGAACUGACCAUUGAGGGCUUAUCUGCCAGAAUUGUUGAAACC